AAUAGAUACCCUGGUAGUCCACGCCGUAAACGAUGAGUGCUAAGUGUUAGAGGGUUUCCGCCCUUUAGUGCUGCAGCUAACGCAUUAAGCACUCCGCCUGGGGAGUACGGCCGCAAGGCUGAAACUCAAAGGAAUUGACGGGGGCCCGCACAAGCGGUGGAGCAUGUGGUUUAAUUCGAAGCAACGCGAAGAACCUUACCAGGUCUUGACAUCCUCUGCUAACCCUAGAGAUAGGGCGUUCCCCUUCGGGGGACAGAGUGACAGGUGGUGCAUGGUUGUCGUCAGCUCGUGUCGUGAGAUGUUGGGUUAAGUCCCGCAACGAGCGCAACCCUUGACCUUAGUUGCCAGCAUUCAGUUGGGCACUCUAAGGUGACUGCCGGUGACAAACCGGAGGAAGGUGGGGAUGACGUCAAAUCAUCAUGCCCCUUAUGACCUGGGCUACACACGUGCUACAAUGGAUGGUACAAAGGGCUGCGAGACCGCGAGGUUAAGCCAAUCCCAUAAAACCAUUCUCAGUUCGGAUUGCAGGCUG
rnacentral:rRNA from 1 species